rnacentral:rRNA from 1 species
AGAAUCAACGCUGGCGGCGUGCCUAACACAUGCAAGUUGAGCGCUUGAGGGGGGCAACCCCCCAAGAGAGCAGCGAACGGGUGAGUAACGCGUGGGUGAUCUUCCUUCGAGUGGGGAACAACAUCGGGAAACUGGUGCUAAUUCCGCGUAACACCUUGGGGCUACGAGCCUCAAGAUCAAAGCCGGGGACCGUAAGGCCUGGCGCUUGAAGAUGAGCCCGCGUCCGAUUAGCUAGUUGGCGGGUAAU